rnacentral:rRNA from 1 species
AGGAUAAACGCUGGCGGCGUGCCUAACACAUGCAAGUCGAACGUCUCUUCUUUCGGGAAGAGGAGUGGCGGACGGGUGAGGAACACGUGGGAACCUGCCCUUUAGUGAGGAAUACCGGCGAGAAAUCGCCGACAAGACCGCAUAGCCCUCUUUGAUGAGAGUCAAAGAAGGAAAGCUUCGCAAGAGGCGCUAGAGGAGGGGCCUGCGUCCGAUUAGCUAGUUGGUGGGGUAAGAGCCUACCAAGGCGUCGAUCGGUAGCUGGUCUGAGAGGACGAUCAGCCACACUGGGAUUGAGAACGGCCCAGACUCCUACGGGGGGCAGCAGUGAGGAAUUUUCGGCAAUGGGGGAAACCCUGACCGAGCAACGCCGCGUGCAGGAAGACGGCCUUCGGGUUGUAAACUGCUUUCUUUGGGACGAGGAAGGACGGUACCAGAGGAAUCAGCCCCGGCUCACUACGUGCCAGCAGCCGC